CACACCUACAUUUAUUCCCCGGCCCGAUAAUCACAAGAAGGAUCGUCGAGCGGGACCGCGGCACGUGAACGGCAGGAGCUCUUCCAGCAGCCAAAGAAUCAGCUGCCGGACUGGCACUUCAAUUGGGUCAACGUUAAAGCGACGCCUGUGGAAAUCCACUGCAACUCGGUAGUUCCUGGGCAACCGUGAAGGCCACGAGACAAUGUGUUUUGGAGAGUCCUUCGAACGCCUCCGUCGCCGCAGUUCAUUCCCUCUAUGUGCACGCAAGCAUGGCAGGAGAAUACUCCUUUCGGGAUGUGUUUGUUGGGCAAUUACUAGUGACGCGAGAUGCUGGAUAAGAUUUGGUGCAAUACGCAACCUACGGCAAAAAUUCUUCUGGUACUCGACCCCACGCUGUGGCCCCUCACGCCUUCCACAUCGGAGUCAUGUCUUCACUGGCGGAGAAAGGAGAACGUGCGCUCCUGUUUGUCCGUAUAGGCCUCAGUUUCUCUCUGGCUCCGGUGUGAUUAAAUAUUUCCGCGGCUAGAAAAGACUAAAUCACGUCCAUUUUUACUUUAUCGCCGCCUGCUUAUGUGCGCACGACAUGCCUCUAGGGCGGCAAACGCGUUUUGAGCAGCCCGUGGGGGGAGUAGAAUUUUCUGGCUCUAGUUCCGGGAGACAGGUGUUCAUUCCUCAAGCGGCAAUCUUCUGCGCACUUCGAUUUAUGCUUACUUUCCUUUUGUGUAUGCUGUGGUAGGAAUGAAAUGGGUUGAGGCAUCUGUUCCAGCGUCGGUCUGUUUAUGUAUGUCGCAUGCCGCACGGCUCGUUUUGUCGCACACCCGAUCGGCAAGGAAGUGUGCAAGGAAAAGAACUGACCGCCACUAGACGGCAUUCUCGUUGCCAACAGGAAUUUGAUAUGACAUGGGUCGAUGUGGAUUCAUACAGCUUUGAGAAAUUUUCUUCCGA
rnacentral:lncRNA from 1 species